GGUCCGUUGGCCCAAUGGUAAGGCGUCUGACUACGAUUAUAAGAAGCGCAAUCAGGAGAUUCUGGGUUCGACCCCCAGGCGGACCU
rnacentral:tRNA from 1 species